rnacentral:sRNA from 1 species
GAGGAUGAGAACCUCCGAAGGAGGUUUGAGCCGAGCGUAGCGAGACAACGUUGCUUCAGCAACGGCCCGAAGGGCGCUGCUCGAAGAGCAGAGUAAUCCUC